rnacentral:rRNA from 1 species
ACGGGUGAGUAACACGUGGGUAACCUGCCCAUAAGACUGGGAUAACUCCGGGAAACCGGGGCUAAUACCGGAUAACAUUUUGCACCGCAUGGUGCGAAAUUGAAAGGCGGCUUCGGCUGUCACUUAUGGAUGGACCCGCGUCGCAUUAGCUAGUUGGUGAGGUAACGGCUCACCAAGGCAACGAUGCGUAGCCGACCUGAGAGGGGAUCGGCCACACUGGGACUGAGACACGGCCCAGACUAAUACGGGAGGCAGCAGUAGGGAAUCUUCCGCAAUGGACGAAAGUCUGACGGAGCAACGCCGCGUGAGUGAUGAAGGCUUUCGGGUCGUAAAACUCUGUUGUUAGGGAAGAACAAGUGCUAGUUGAAUAAGCUGGCACCUUGACGGUACCUAACCAGAAAGCCACGGCUAACUACGUGCCAGCAGCCGCGGUAAUACGUAGGUGGCAAGCGUUAUCCGGAAUUAUUGGGCGUAAAGCGCGCGCA